UACGGAAGGGGCAAGCGUUGUUCGGAAUUAUUGGGCGUAAAGGGCGCGUAGGUGGUCGGGCAUGUCCGCUGUGAAAGCACACAGCUCAACUGUGUUCCGUCGGUGGAAACUGCUCGACUCGAGGCUGGAAGGGGCUGGUGGAAUUCCCUGUGUAGCGGUGAAAUGCGUAGAGAUGGGGGAGAACACUCGUGGCGAAGGCGGCCAGCUGGACCAGUCCUGACACUGAGGCGCGACAGCGUGGGGAGCAAACAGG
rnacentral:rRNA from 1 species